rnacentral:rRNA from 1 species
GAUGAACGCUGGCGGCGUGCCUAAUACAUGCAAGUCGAGCGAACAGACGAGGAGCUUGCUCCUCUGACGUUAGCGGCGGACGGGUGAGUAACACGUGGAUAACCUACCUAUAAGACUGGGAUAACUUCGGGAAACCGGAGCUAAUACCGGAUAAUAUAUUGAACCGCAUGGUUCAAUAGUGAAAGACGGUUUUGCUGUCACUUAUAGAUGGAUCCGCGCCGCAUUAGCUAGUUGGUAAGGUAACGGCUUACCAAGGCAACGAUGCGUAGCCGACCUGAGAGGGUGAUCGGCCACACUGGAACUGAGACACGGUCCAGACUCCUACGGGAGGCAGCAGUAGGGACUCUUCCGCAAUGGGCGAAAGCCUGACGGAGCAACGCCGCGUGAGUGAUGAAGGUCUUCGGAUCGUAAAACUCUGUUAUUAGGGAAGAACACAUGUGUAAGUAACUAUGCACGUCUUGACGGUACCUAAUCAGAAAGCCACGGCUAACUACGUG